rnacentral:rRNA from 1 species
CCUACGGGAGGCUGCAGUGAGGAAUAUUGGUCAAUGGGCGCGAGCCUGAACCAGCCAAGUAGCGUGAAGGAUGACUGCCCUACGGGUUGUAAACUUCUUGUAUAAAGGAAUAAAGUGAGGCACGUGUGCAUUUUUGUAUGUACUUUAAGAAUAAGGAUAGGCUAACGCCGUGCCAGCAGCCGCGGUAAGCCGGAGGAUCCGAGCGUUAUCCGGAUUUAUUGGGUUGAAAGGGAGCGUAGAUGGGUUUUUAAGUCCGUUGUGAAAGUUUGCGGCUCAACCGUAAAAUUGCAAUUGAUACUGGCUGCCUUGCGUACAGUUGAGGUAGGCGGAAUUCGUGGUGUAGCGGU